rnacentral:rRNA from 1 species
CCUACGGGGGGCAGCAGUGAGGAAUAUUGGUCAAUGGGCGAGAGCCUGAACCAGCCAAGUCGCGUUAAGGAUGACGGCCCUACGGGUUGUAAACUUCUUUUGUCAGGGAGCAAUUGGGUCCACGCGUGGGCUUAGCGAGAGUACCUGAAGAAAAAGCAUCGGCUAACUCCGUGCCAGCAGCCGCGGUAAUACGGAGGAUGCGAGCGUUAUCCGGAUUUAUUGGGUUUAAAGGGUGCGUAGGCGGAAUAUCAAGUCAGCGGUAAAAAUUCGGGGCUCAACCCCGACGUGCCGUUGAAACUGAUGGUCUUGAGUGGGCGAGAGGGAUGCGGAAUGCGUGGUGUAGCGGUGAAAUGCAUAGAGAUCACGCAGAACUCCGAUUGCGAAGGCAGCAUACCGGCGCCCCACUGACAUUGAGGCUCGAAAGUGUGGGUAUCAAACAGGAUUAGAUACCCUAGUAGUC